CAGUCGCCACGGGAAUACGGAAGGUCCAGGCGUUAUCCGGAUUUAUUGGGUUUAAAGGGAGUGUAGGCGGUCUGUUAAGCGCGUUGUGAAGUUUAGGUGCUCAACAUCUAACUUGCAGCGCGAACUGGCGGACUUGAGUGCACGCAACGUAUGCGGAAUUCAUGGUGUAGCGGUGAAAUGCUUAGAUAUCAUGACGAACUCCGAUUGCGAAGGCAGCGUACGGGAGUGUUACUGACGCUUAAGCUCGAAGGUGCGGGUAUCGAACAGGAUUAGAGACCCCUGUAGUCCCUGUCUCUUAUAC
rnacentral:rRNA from 1 species